CGGAUUAAAGCUCUAUUGUAGAGUACCCCACUUACGCUGGGGAGGUAGAUUGUGCGAUUCAAUUUAAUCUGA
rnacentral:tRNA from 1 species